UGAAAAAGCCCUAGAUCGAGCGGUCAAAACAGAUCACGCCUCCUCGAUUCCUUCCACUCCCUCGACACCACCUCCCUUCCACCCGGCGGCGCCUCCUCCUUCCUCCUCAUCUGGCGGCGCCUUCUCCUUCCUCCUCGUCCGCCUUCAUCCCCAUCCGGCGGUGCCUCCUCCUUCCUACCCAUCCAGCAACGCCUCCUCCCUCCUUUCCACGGCCUCCAGCACAGCGCGCCACCGGCUAGCUGCACCACCACCGUAUCCGCGAGAGAGGAAGUUGCGGGAGGAGGAGAGCCCAUACUGUGAGGAAGACGUGGGGAGGAGCUCUACCCGGCUCAGCUGCCGGCCAGGAUCUGGAAGAAGAGGAGACCCAGUGCUGGCGUCGGCUCGAGCGAUGCGGGUUGACGGUCAGUGCAGGUGAGCGCGGCGUGUAGUGCGGUGCCCUGGACAGGUGGCAGCAGCCGUCAAGACAGGAGCGGCGCCGUGAGCGACGGCCCUUGGUCGUCUUCAGGUGUGCGUCGUUCGUGGUGGCCAGUCGUAGGUGUUGCCGGGCGACCAGAGGCGCCUGCAGCAGGCCGGUGCCCCUUAGCAAGAUUGGCAUGAACUGGGAGGCAACCGGUGUGUAGUAUGAUCCUCACAGGGUCAGAGUAUAACCCAGAUCAGUCCUUAUGGGAGAGAGGGUUUAUGCUUGCAGGGCGAAGGUAUAAACAACUAGACUUGGAGGCAGCUCACAAAUGCAAGGGGCCAUACCUUAAAAUGCAGCCACUAUCUUCUUGCUUUCGUUCCAGAAAAUAAUGCCCUCCCGUGUGUGAUCUACUGCCAUGGAAAUAGCUGAUGCAGAGCAGAUGCAAAUGAAGUUGCUGUAGUACUUCUUCCUUCAAACAUCACAGUUUUCGCACUAGACUUUUCCGGUUCAGGUCCAUCGGACGGAGAUUAUGUCAGCCUUGGUUGGCAUGAGAAAGAGGACCUCAAAUGCGCAGUAUCAUUCCUGCGCACCAACAAGCAAGUUUCCCGUAUAGACCUUCGGGCGCGAUCGAUGGGUGCUGUUACAAGCCUACUACAUGGAGCAGAAGAACUGAGAGAUGAUGUUUCUGCUGAGCCUACUAUAUGGUUCUUGGUUCUGCUAUUGAUGAGAUAUAUGUUAUCAUUCUGACGAUCUGUCGCAACAACAUAUGGUUUUUCAGCUAUAAAUUUUUGCUAUCUGGUCUCUGUUUUGGCCUCCUGAUUAGUUGAUAAUUUUUUUAUUUGAUUUGGUCUUUGUUGAUGAUUUUUGGUUUAAAAUCUUUCUCCAUGAAAAUCGUACAAGCAAACGGGUGGUCUGAACUGAUGCCAUGUUGAUAUGUCUACAUAAUCCAUGCUUACCCUUGUGGUUGGCAUCCGAGAGAAAACAUCAUAUGUCUUUUCCAAUCUUCUCAACAAUUAUUUUCUUCUGUUUUUUGUCGUGUUUGCGCUUAGGUCAUGUUCUCCCUCUUAGUUGGAGUUUAGUUUUUUUACAGGACUCGGAUCUGAGAGGGAUGCAGUGGUUGCGGAUAGCGAGAUGGUUUACUUACCAACCCUUUGCAGCGUUUGCCAACUCUCGAGUCAAAUGGUCUAACCAAGUUUUCCUCAAUCCUCUGUUCUCAUUUUGGUUUUGAUGCCUUGCUGCCUUCAACAUUAAGGUGAGGUCUGAGGCAUUGCGAUUCCUGGAAUCCUUCUUCCAUUUUUCUUUCGAUUUGAUUUUCUGCCUCCCAAAUGAUGAUUACAAGUGCAUGGUUCAUAUGAUCGAAUUGUGAUUGCUUGAACAAAAAUAGUCUUUCGCUCCUAUCUGACCACCUUUCAAUCUCACACCUUUUCAGGAGAAUCAAACAACUUAGUUUGUCUGUUUUUUUUUCAUAUUACAUGUAGAACAUUGCAUUGACAAGGUGUAGUUGUAUUGAUUCAUUAUAGGACGGUGAAGAUUGAUAUUUGGUCUUGUUCAUCGAGACUGGCAUUUAUUUGCCUUGCAAACCAUCCUGCUAUAUCAGCACCCAUAUUCUGAGUCCUCUUAUUAGUACUAUCUUGGUUCGACAUGUUAAUUCUUUUCUAUUGUUUGCCCUAUGAUUAGACUAAACUAAUAGAGAAGCAAUUUCCACUUGACUAAUAAAUAGGGUGAUUUUUUAUUUGCUUGGAUUUGAGCAGUGAUGAGACAAUUAAAUAAAUAUGAUCUUCUGGGUGUGAUUAUCAAUCGCUACUUUCUUACUGAGCUCCUAUCCAUUUGCUUUUGAGUCUGUUGUGAUUUGUUCACCAAUUUUCUAAAUUCAGCUUGAUCGCAAGAGGUAUUCGGAUCUUCAAAACAUUUUGAACUUUGAUUGCGAUUGCACAAUAGAUACUUUGACGUUUGCAAUGAUUUUCCGAACCAGUUUGAGGAUGACGACUUCAUAUCUGUCGCUCCACUCUUACGGUCUGCAUAGGUGGAUCUUUGCUGAUUGACAUACUUCUGAAUCUGAUUCGAUGAACACUCCUAUAUCUGCAUUCAAAGGCAAAGGGCGGGCUAUCAUGCCUAAAACGCCUAGCAAAUCACCAUGCCCAAAAAGCUCUCGUCGCAAGCUUUUUACUUCACCUUUGAAGAUUAAAGGGCCUGAGGUUAAGGGAGCAGACCUGUCUAACUCUACUGGAAAUGUUACUACCGAAGCUGAAAAGAGUCCUUCUGCUGGAGAUGUAGUUCAAGCUGUAUCCAGCCAAAUGAACCUAAACAAGUUGAUCAAGAGACUGAGACCGCAGUAGCUGGAGAUGGAAAGAAUGUUCUUUCCGAACAGACUAAAAACAAGAGAGCGAACGCUGCUGCCAAAGGCGCCGGCACUCCAAAGAAAGCAAAGCAGUAGUUCUUCGAUGAACUAAUCUAGACGUGUACAUAUGUUGCAUCUUCUUCCACAGGGUAUCUUCUAUGUUCUGCUUGCUUAUCAAGCUAAAUUAGCUACUAGAUGGAUAUGCUGAUCAAGAGAUUUUCUCAGCUCUCCUGCAUCGUAGCAACGGUCUAGCCAUCAGGUCUGAGGAUCGCCAGCACAGCAAACUUUUGUGGAUGCACUUGCUGUAUUUUGUGCGGAAUGAUGUAAGCUGCUGUCAUGACACCACCUCUAUUUAUGUCCUCGAACGAACCAACUACUAUACGUUGUAGAUAUCGCCAUUGUCCUUUUGCCCUUCUUUGAAUCCCAAUAGGCAUUCAGUGGGAAUUUUAAAUUCAGAGUUGAGUACUCAUUUCAGUUCUUAGUUCAGUGAGACCAAAUUUAUUUUCAUAGAAUGCCAGACAAAAUUAUCCUUAAUUCAGCUUUUCCCUGCUGUUAUUUGCCUACUUAGUGCCGAGUGAUCAAAUAUAUUCCAUGGAGUGCUUUCUUAUAUUUUAUCGCCAUUUGUUUUGAAUUCCAAUCUUCAUCCAUUCACACCCUCUUGAGACGGCUUUCCCAUAUCUUCAAAUAACUUAUACCAUGCUCAAAAUUUAGCGAUGCCUACCUAACACAAAAAAGAUGUGCAAUUUUUUAAGACCCAUUAAAUGGUACACCAAAAGUAACAAUUUCUAAGUAAUUCCAGUAGUAGUCGAUAAAAUGAGCAUGGAAUGACAUAGAUUGUUUUUUAGAACAUUUAUAGCUGUUUUGUGUUUUUUUAAGAAUAUCCUCUGCUUUAUCAUGAUGGCUUGAUUAGCUUCAUACUUUUUAGGUUUCAACCGCUUAACUAAAAGAAGAAGGCGAAUUUAGUUAAUUCCCUGCUCCUUAUUUUCACUCAAACAUUUACCUCAAAGCAUGCGCAUGGCCUGUUUCUCCUAUGGGCCGACGGCCUUCAAAUGACCGAGGAAAUAUCUACUACAGUUGUCUCUCUUAGCUUCCCGCAGCCACCAGACCCUAUCUUAUGUUCACUUACCUCAUCUCCCCCCUCCCCCCUUUGCCUGGAGCUCCUCCGCGGUAGCUGCUCCUGCGGUCGAACCAGAUACACGGAUGCCAAAGGCCCGCGGUCAGCUUCUGCAGUGCCCUACUCUUUACCAGGUGUUCAAUCUAUUUUGGUCCUGAACAAAGGCGGAUAGGAGUUCCUACGAGCAGUCAUAUUUCUCAAGCCCCCUUGGUCUAUCUUUUGAAAUCGUGCUCAUGGAGCUGGUCGAGCUAUCCACCGUUUCUCUAGCUGAAGCAAUGUUUGAGAAACUCGGGCUCCCUAAACCAGUCUACCAUGUGCAUCAGCUUGAGCAGGGUGGGUAUAAAGCGCAGGUUGAAUUUCACCGUACAAAAGAGCGUUUUCAUGCUUCAGCACGCCGGGUUAAACUGCCAAGCCCUGUAUGUGUGGAUGGGGAGGCAUCAAUGAAUCACAUGGAAUCCAGAGAGGCAUUAAUGUGUAUCAUCUUGAUUGUCGCCUUGACCUUAUCAAUCCCCUUCUUCCCUCCGUGUACCAAACCUUCUCUCGCUCACCCUGUCUCUUCCAGACCAUCGUCGUUGUUCCUCAACUUCGAUUGCAAUAUCAACACGUCAGUUCCUCAGGUGGAUCCUCACUGAAUCAGACCGCUUAACAGGCGAACCUUUACCAACAUGGUAUUAUUUCAAUUUUGAGUUGGUGUUGUUCCUUAGAGACAUGGUCAAAUAUUGAGAAAUUUUAGAUUUGCUUGCA